UACGUAGGGACCAAGCGUUGUUCGGAUUUACUGGGCGUAAAGGGCGCGUAGGCGGCACAGCAAGUCGGGAGUGAAAGCCCGGGGCUCAACCCCGGAACUGCUUUCGAAACUGCUGAGCUAGAGUGCGGAAGGGGCAACCGGAAUUCCCAGUGUAGCGGUGAAAUGCGUAGAUAUUGGGAAGAACACCUGAGGCGAAGGCGGGUUGCUGGGCCGACACUGACGCUGAGGCGCGAAAGCCAGGGGAGCAAACGGG
rnacentral:rRNA from 1 species